rnacentral:piRNA from 2 species
CGCACGUGUUAGGACCCGAAAGAUGGUGAAC